CUUGGUCGGAGAGGACCUCCCACCCCAGUGGAAGCUGUGGUGGCCUUCAGGACGAUUUCUCUGUCGCGGGUGCUGAGCACAGGGCCUGCACGUGGUGGGUUUGCUGGCCGUGGAAAAUCCCUUCACCUCUCGGUUUGCUCAAGAGGGCACCAGACAGUAUCUUCCUCAUAGAGGUGCGUGAGUUAAUGAAAGGAAAGGUGCCUGCAACUAGCACCUGGAACAUGGUGGAAGACGAGGAUUCAGACCCAGGAGCGAGGCACGAACGUCCACUCGGGGAACCAUUUUGCCAGACUGGUCUUGGAGCCAGAGCACCAGCCUCAAACCUGCCUCCGCCAUGACCUGGCUGUUCAUCUCAGGACUCAGCCGCCUCCUCUGGAAGAUGGGAGAAUACCUUCUGCUCUGUAGGCAGGUCGGAGGACUGAAUGGCCUGACCCAGGGCCUGCCCCUCUGGUUCCAGCUCUCAUCACUACCCCCCACCCAGCCAUCCCCAUACUGGAAGCUCCAGCUGAGCUGAAUGACCUGCAGCUCAGGCUUUGCUCUUGCCACCUUCUCUUGGCUACCCUGGGGUCCGGACUUUCAGGUCAACUCAACAGACCAUUUCUUGCCAGAUUAAGCAUAGUUUGCCUCUCAAUUCAAAUGGCAGCUGGAAAUAAAAGCCCGCCCUGACCUUAGCAGUAUGGCAUGAAGGUUAAGAAACUUUGACUCCAUCAAAUUUCAGCUCUGUCACUUUUACUGUGUAACCUUGGGCAAAUCUCUUUAUCUCUCUGAGCCUCUCCUUCCAAAUCUGUAAAAUGGAUGUAGUGACAGCACCCAAAGAGUUGUAUGAGGACUGGUGAGAGAAUGCAUAUGGACUAUGGUGAGCUCCAGCAAAUGGUAGCUAUCACUUUUA
rnacentral:lncRNA from 1 species